rnacentral:tRNA from 1 species
GCCUGGCUGGCCCAGUCGGCAGAGCAUGUGACUCUGAAUCAGGGGGUUGUGAGUUUAAGCCCCAUGUUGGGCA